UUUUUUUGACUAAAGAUUAUAAAUGAAAAUACAAGAGUUGAUAAAAUAAGUUUUGUUAGAAACAAAACAACUCAGAUGAAUAGUUCGUCUUUUGGGGAAUUCAACUAAGUUAAUCAAAAAUUCUAAAGUUAGAGUUAAACAACAAAUAAUAAGUAAUCGCAAUUAAAUAAUUAAAGCGUAAGGGAGAAAUUGAAUUUGGGCCUUUCUUGGGCCAAAUUUGCUACUUUUUUUGGGGUUUAAACAAAACCCGUUUUUGGUAUACAGCUCAUGUAUAUCAGUGUAUAUCGCAUGUAUAUAAGCUCUUUUCAUGUAUAUCUUGCUUCCAAACACCUGUAUUUCGCCUUAGCCCUGUAUUUUACUCCCAAUUCGGAAUUCAUAUAUUUGUUUUCCAUUCCGGACUUGGCAACAAAGGAGAUGACUUGAAAAAGCUUUUGGGGCCUAAGUGGCCCGUUUCAUGUGCAAAGGGGUUGGAGAAGAGUUCAGUGAACUCAUCCGAUGAUGCCAUACAGAGGAAACAAAACAAGAGUUAGCCAGCUAUAAAUUAUUAUUUUUGGUGGAAAUGAAUCACAACUCCUAAAAAUAUACAACUGGAACUCAACACUAUAACAACAAAAAUUCAAACAAGCAAGAUUAUAAUAGUCAUAAUAUAUAUCUCCCUUGGAGCAAAAUGAUAUUACCCACCCGUGGAGUAUGCCAUUCAAUUAGUAACCAAAAGAAAGAAAAAAUUUCACAUAAAACAAAAAAUAAAAUAAAAUCCCUUAAUAACAUAUCUAAGCACCUGGAUGCUUAUUCUUGAGUAUAAGUACAAAAUUAGCCAUUAUAAGAAAUAUAUAUAUUUAUAGACACUUAUCACUAAACAUCUAUGCAAACUAAAACCAAAAUAUGCACAUUAAUCCACAUAUCACAAAUAUUAGACUAAUGGACAUGAAUAUUCAAAACGGAGAAGUUAAUCAAUGAGGCAGUAAGCACGUGACGAGGGUAGAAUAGCCUUAUUAGAUACAAGGAUCCAAGUUAUUCAAUUUUUAAAGAUGAAGUAUUUUGAACUAAAAUAGUAAAUGACCAGCCGAUUCGAAGAAUAUGGAGACAUAUAUUUAUCUUCUCAAACGUAUAUUCCAAGCUGCUCUUAUCACAAUGUAAAGUAGAUAGAUAAAACAUGAAUCAUAUGCAAAAUGAGAGGCAUUCGGUUAUAUGAACGACUAGCUAAUUUCCAAACUUAAACUAACAUAUGAAUAGAAGGUAAAAACCAACUCAAGGCUAGGCAAGACAGAUUCUAUGAAACGGGUACAACGAAUAAACUCAAAACAAUAGCAACUCCCAUGCGAGAAAAUCACAAAUAACAUACAAAUACCAACUUUUUAAAUGCCAAAUUGAGACAAAAUUGAUCCAAUGGAGAUUCACAUACUUUUAAAAAAAAUAAUCAAACUUAUGAAAGAAAAUAAUUGAACUGCUCAAUCAUAAGGUAAAACAGAGUAAUCCGCUAACAAUAACAUCAAAUUAAUAUCAAAGUAUUCACUACAUCGAGAAUAUACAAUGAUUUAUAUAAGACGAUAAAAGUUUACCUUUUCCGGGGCAGGGACUGGGACGAUGAGCUUGACUAUGAAGCAACCCCCACUACCACAACAAAGUUUCGUUGAAGAAUCCUUCGAAUUCCAGAAACCAAAAGCCUCGUUUUUUUUUUUUUUUGACUAAAGAUUAUAAAUGAAAAUACAAGAGUUGAUAAAAUAAGUUUUGUUAGAAACAAAACAACUCAGAUGAAUAGUUCGUCUUUUGGGGAAUUCAACUAAGUUAAUCAAAAAUUCUAAAGUUAGAGUUAAACAACAAAUAAUAAGUAAUCGCAAUUAAAUAAUUAAAGCGUAAGGGAGAAAUUGAAUUUGGGCCUUUCUUGGGCCAAAUUCACUACUUUUUCUGGGGUUUAAACAAAACCCGUUUUUGGUAUACAGCUCAUGUAUAUCAGUGUAUAUCGCAUGUAUAUAAGCUCUUUUCAUGUAUAUCUUGCUUCCAAACACCUGUAUUUCGCCUUAGCCCUGUAUUUUACUCCCAAUUCGGAAUUCAUAUAUUUGUUUUCCAUUCCGGACUUGGCAACAAAGGAGAUGACUUGAAAAAGCUUUUGGGGCCUAAGUGGCCCGUUUCAUGUGCAAAGGGGUUGGAGAAGAGUUCAGUGAACUCAUUCGAUGAUGCCAUACAGAGGAAACAAAACAAGAGUUAGCCAGCUAUAAAAAAAAAAUUGGUGGAAAUGAAUCACAUCUCCUAAAAAUAUAAAACUGGAACUCAACACUAUAACAACAAAAAUUCAAACAAGCAAGAUUAUAAUAGUCAUAAUAUAUAUCUCCCUUGGAGCAAAAUGAUAUUACCCACCCGUGGAGUAUGCCAUUCAAUUAGUAACCAAAAGAAAGAAAAAAUUUCACAUAAAACAAAAAAUAAAAUAAAAUCCCUUAAUAACAUAUCUAAGCACCUGGAUGCUUAUUCUUGAGUAUAAGUACAAAAUUAGCCAUUAUAAGAAAUAUAUAUAUUUAUAGACACCUAUCACUAAACAUCUAUGCAAACUAAAACCAAAAUAUGCACAUUAAUCCACAUAUCACAAAUAUUAGACUAAUGGACAUGAAUAUUCAAAACGGAGAAGCUAAUCAAUGAGGCAGUAAGCACGUGACGAGGGUAGAAUAGCCUUAUUAGAUACAAGGAUCCAAGUUAUUCAUUUUUUAAAGAUGAAGUAUUUUGAACUAAAAUAGUAAAUGACCAGCCGAUUCGAAGAAUAUGGAGACAUAUAUUUAUCUUCUCAAACGUAUAUUCCAAGCUGCUCUUAUCACAAUGUAAAGUAGAUAGAUAAAACAUGAAUCAUAUGCAAAAUGAGAGGCAUUCGGUUAUAUGAACGACUAGCUAAUUUCCAAACUUAAACUAACAUAUGAAUAGAAGGUAAAAACCAACUCAAGGCUAGGCAAGACAGAUUCUAUGAAACGGGUACAACGAAUAAACUCAAAACAAUAGCAACUCCCAUGCGAGAAAAUCACAAAUAACAUACAAAUACCAACUUUUUAAAUGCCAAAUUGAGACAAAAUUGAUCCAAUGGAGAUUCACAUA
rnacentral:lncRNA from 1 species